rnacentral:rRNA from 1 species
UACAGAGGGUGCGAGCGUUGUCCGGAAUCACUGGGCGUAAAGGGCGCGUAGGCGGUUUGGCAAGUCUAUGGUGAAAGCUCGCCGCUCAACGGCGAGUCGGCCACGGAUACUGCUGAACUGGAGCACUGUAGAGGCAGGUGGAAUUCCGGGUGUAGCGGUGGAAUGCGUAGAGAUCCGGAAGAACACCAGUGGCGAAGGCGACUUACUGGAUCAUGACUGACGCUGAGGCUCGAAAGCGUGGGGAGCAAACAGG